UACGUAGGGGGCAAGCGUUAUCCGGAUUUACUGGGUGUAAAGGGAGUGUAGGUGGUCAUGCAAGUCUGAAGUGAAAUCCCGGGGCUCAACCCCGUGACUGCUUUGGAAACUGUGUGACUGGAGUGCAGGAGAGGUAAGCGGAAUUCCUAGUGUAGCGGUGAAAUGCGUAGAUAUUAGGAAGAACACCGGUGGCGAAGGCGGCUUACUGGACUGUAACUGACACUGAGGCUCGAAAGCGUGGGGAG
rnacentral:rRNA from 1 species